rnacentral:rRNA from 1 species
GCUCAGCCGUAAACAAUUAAUUUACACCAAUCAGCGCCAGGGAAUUACGAGCCAUGCUUAAAACCCAAAGGACUUGACGGUGUCCCACCCCCCUAGAGGAGCCUGUUCUAUAAUCGAUGAUCCCCGCUAUACCCUACCAUUCCUCGCCUCAGUCUGUAUACCUCCGUCGAAAGCCUACCCUGUGAACGCCCAGUAAGCCCAAUGACCCCCCUCAACACGUCAGGUCAAGGUGCAGCUCACGGAAUGGAAAGUAAUGGGCUACAAUUUCUAACAUAGAACAAACGAAAGACCAUGUGAAACCAUGUCACGAAGGUGGAUCUAGUAGUAAAAAGAAAAUAGAGUGUUCUUUUUAACCCGGCUCUGGGACGCGUACACACCGCCCGUNNNNNNNNNCGAUAGCUUUACUUCACGUUUAUAACCCUUUAUCCGCACCUUAGAAGAGGCAAGUCGUAACACGGUAAGUGUACUGGAAAGUGCACUUGGAUUACAACAAAAUAUAGCUUAA